GUUGGCGGCGUGGAUUAGGCAUGCAAGUCGAACGAGAACCACUGGGCAACUGGUGGGGAAAGUGGCGAAAGGGGCAGUAAUGCGUGGGUAACCUACCCUGGGGAUCGGAAUAGCCAUCCUAACGGAUGGGUAAUACCGAGCGAUGUAACGAGGGGGCAUCUUCUUGUUACCAAAUGAAUUUCGCCCUGGGAGGGGCUCACGUCGUAUUAGCUUGUUGGUGAGGUAACGGCUCACCAAGGCAAAGAUGCGUAGCGGGUGUGAGAGCACGACCCGCGCCACUGGCACUGAGACACUGGCCAGACUCCUACGGGAGGCUGCAGUCGAGGAUCUUCGGCAAUGGGCGCAAGCCUGACCGAGCGACGCCGCGUGUGCGAUGAAGGCCUUCGGGUUGUAAAGCACUGUCGAGGGGGAGGAAGC
rnacentral:rRNA from 1 species